GACGAACGCUGGCGGCGUGCCUAAUACAUGCAAGUUGAGCGCUGAAGGUUGGUACUUGUACCGACUGGAUGAGCAGCGAACGGGUGAGUAACGCGUGGGGAAUCUGCCUUUGAGCGGGGGACAACAUUUGGAAACGAAUGCUGAUACCGCAUAAAAACUUUAAACACAAGUUUUAAGUUUGAAAGAUGCAAUUGCAUCACUCAAAGAUGAUCCCGCGUUGUAUUAGCUAGUUGGUGAGGUAAAGGCUCACCAAGGCGAUGAUACAUAGCCGACCUGAGAGGGUGAUCGGCCACAUUGGGACUGAGACACGGCCCAAACUCCUACGGGAGGCAGCAGUAGGGAAUCUUCGGCAAUAGACGAAAGUCUGACCGAGCAACGCCGCGUGAGUGAAGAAGGUUUUCGGAUCGUAAAACUCUGUUGGUAGAGAAGAACGUUGGUGAGAGUGGAAAGCUCAUCAAGUGACGGUAACUACCCAGAAAGGGACGGCUAACUACGUG
rnacentral:rRNA from 1 species